UCCCUGGUGGCUCAGGUGGUAAAGCACCUGUCUACAAUGCAGGAGACCCAGGUUCGAGCCCUGGGUUGGGAA